AGACUACAAGACUCAGAAAAACUAGUGAAGAAAACUCUCUCUGUGCACAGAAACUGUACAAAGCAUUGCGAAGCACACAGAGAAAACCUGCUGGAAGAACAUGGCACUGGAUCUGUGAGUUUUGUAAGGAGCUUCCUAGAAAUGUAACUGAAAUAGCCAUAGGCAGGCACUGACUGGCUGCAAAUGGAAAAAAUCUGCUACACAUGUGCAGCUGAAAUACAGAGCCUGAGCAAGGGUCGGUGGUGAAAGCAAGAGGACUCGCGUUUGGCAGGAAAACAUCGGGACAAAUGGGGACAACGAAGGAGCCCGCAGUGGAAUUAAG